rnacentral:rRNA from 1 species
UACGGGGGGGGCAAGCGUUGUUCGGAAUUACUGGGCGUAAAGGGCUCGUAGGUGGCCAACUAAGUCAGACGUGAAAUCCCUCGGCUUAACCGGGGAACUGCGUCUGAUACUGGAAGGCUUGAGUGCGGGAGAGGGAUGUGGAAUUCCAGGUGUAGCGGUGAAAUGCGUAGAUAUCUGGAGGAACACCGGUGGCGAAGGCGGCAUCCUGGACCGACACUGACGCUGAGGCGCGAAAGCUAGGGUAGCAAACGGG